ensembl:lncRNA novel transcript
GCGAGUCACAGGCGCGGGUGUUCGGCUACGUCACUGGGGCGCUACGGUGCCUGGAGCUGGGCAGUCUUCUCGUCAGAGUGGGGACUGGUAAGAGCGACCUCACCGCCAGGUCCUGUGUGUUGCCGGCUGAAGAAGGGUAGCUGAAAAAUUCAGACCCAGCACAGUGUUUAUGUUGGUCAAAAAUAGAAAACUAUGUCUGCCGCGGCCGAGGCAGGAGGACCCUUCAGGCCAAGAGCAGCCUAGCAACAUGGCGCAACCCCAUCUCUGUAGUCCUACCUCAGCCCCCCAGCUACUUGAACCCAAAGGUUCAAGGCUCCAGUGAGCUAUGAUCCCACCACAGCAUUCCAGCCUGCGAGAUUGAGAUGAUGAUUAUUCCCCACCUUCUAAGAGACAAAGACCAACGAUCCACCACAGCCACCAGUCCCAGAACCCGCCAAUGCUGGGGAAUGGAAAAUGAGGGAGUUCAACUCUGGCCCUCACAAUCCAGUGGAGGAGACGAAACUCAUCUGCCUCUGUCCCUCUGGGCACGCCUCAUGCCAGGUGCAUCUGUGGACAGGGGCCAUGCUCCUGGGCUUCCAAAGUUGGAGAAAGCUGCCAGGCUCAGGUCUGAAGGCCAGAAUUCUACAGUAAGUCCUACUGAGUCAAGGUGGGAGCAGGGUCGGUGGCUUCCGAGGCUCUGCGGGAGAAUCCGUUUCCUGGCCGUAGAGGUGGCCUGCACUCCUCAGCUUGUGCUGCCCGUCUCGAAUGACUGGAGUUUCCUGCUUCUGUCACUACACCUCCCACCCUCUCCAUCACCUGCUCUGCUCUUAUAAGGAUCCGAGUGGAGUCUUGCUCUGUCAUCCAGGCUGGCAGUGGCGUGAUCUUGGUUCACUGCAAUGUCUGCCUCCUGGGUUCAGGUGAUUCUCCUGCCUCAGCCUCCUGAGUAGCUGGGACUACAGGCGCCCGCCACCAUGCCCUGCUGUUUUGUAUUUUUGAGAAAUGGAAUCAUCGUAUCGCUGAUCUGCGUAAACAAAUUGAAGAAUUGUCUGAAAGAAAAUAUGACAUGAACUUAUGAAUUCAACAGGUAAAGAUUUACAACUUGAUAAAUCAACUUUGUGAGCUCGAGCUGUAAAAGCCAAAGGUCCAGUGAUGAUCCCAUACCCUUUUGUCCAGUCUCAUGUUGAAGAUUUUUAUGUAGAAGGCCUUCCCAAAGGAAUUUUUUUUUUUUUUUUGAGAUGGAGUUUUCACUCUUAUCGCCCAGGCUGGGGUGCAAUGGCGCAACCUUGCUGGUCACUGCAACCUCUGCCUCCUGGGUUCAAGAAAUUCUCUUGCCUUAGCCUCCCAAGUUGCUGGGAUUACAGGUGCCCACCACCACACCAGGCUAAUUUUUGUAUUUUUAGUGGAGAUGGGGUUUCACCAUGUUGGCCGGGCCAGUCUCGAACUCCUGACGUCAAGUGAUCUUCCCGCCUCGACUCCUGACAUCAAGUGAUCUUCCCACCUCGGCCUCCAAGAGUGCUGAGAUUACAGAUGUGAACCCAUGCCUGGCCAGGAAUUUUGUUUUUUAGGAAGGCUUUCUACUAAUGGAAUUCCUGGCCUUGAGAGGAUGUUACUUUCGAAGGAAAGGAUUUUUUUGUUAUUAAAAGAGCCACCUAAGCUGAAGAUUCCCUUGAGAACAAGUACUGUCCUGCGGUUUCAUGGCCUUUCUUCCAUUUGUGGUUCUUGUGAAGUGGAAUUUAAAUGACAUCAAGAUGGAUAAACCCUAGUUUCCCAGUGCUGGAAUAUAGAAAAUGGAUGGACAAGUAAAUCCCACUCAGCACCCAUAGUCCAGGCAUGGGGAUCUCAACACACCUGAGCCCCAGACAUCACCUUUCAUUCUGGACCUACCAUGAAAGACUUCUGAAUCCAGGAAGAGAAACUGACUGGGCAACAUGUUAUUCAGAAACAGGACCUUGCCCUGUCACUCAGGAUGGAGUUCAGUGGUCCUAUCAUGGUUCAUUAUAGCCUCAAACUCCCAGGCUCAAGCAAUCCUACCAUGUCAGCCUUCCCAGUAGCUGGGACUACAGGCUGGAGUACAGUGGCACAACCUCUGCUCACUGCAGCCUCCACCUGCCAGGCUCAAGCAAUUCUCCUGCCUCAGCCUCCCGAGUAGCUGGGAUUACAAGAAGUGACCUCACAAUGACUCAAGCUACCACAUGCUGUUGAUUGUGAAAUGCCAGUUGAAGCAUAUGUCCUGCGAGCUUAGGGGUGCUACAAGUUGACCACUGCAGCAGUAAAGAUGACUCUGAAGAAUGGCGUGGGAUGGAUCCUUUCGAAUGCACUUGAGCAGCGGUCUCCAACCACAGGGCCACAGAGCUGGAGCUGGAUCUACCAUGAAAGACUUCUGAAUCCAGGAAGAGAGACUGACUGGGCAACAUGUUAUUCAGGUACAAAAAGAUUUGGACUAUAACUUAAAAAUGAUCAAAUAAUAGUGCAUGCAUCAAGUGCAAUGGGAAGCUCUUCUGGAGAGUGAGAUAAGCUUCCAGUUAAGGAGAUGGGGUCUCACCCUGUCACCCAGGCUUGAGUACAAUAGUGCUAUCACAGCUCACUGCAGCCUUGAACUCCUGGGCUAAGGAUCCUCCUACCUGAGCCUCCUGAAUAGCUAGGACUGGUCUCCCUCUGUUGUCCAAGGCUGGAGUGUAGUAGUGCUAUCGCAGCUGACUGCAGCCUCAACCUUCCAGGCUGAAGCGAUCCUCCCAUCUCAACCUCCCACGUGGCUGAGACUACAGGUGCUUGCCACUAUGCCCAACUAAUAUUUGGAAUUUUCGUAUACGUGGAUUCCAGAGGGGUGACAGCAAAACGUGGGACCAUCCAGUUGCAGGAAAACAAGCUUAACAUGCCCACUGAUUCUACAUUAUGCUCCUACCUCCCGGCAGCAUCUCCAGGCCCAGAACUUUCUCCAGUCAGCCUCUACAGACCAAGCUCAUGACUCACAAUGGCCUAUUUAGGCCCAUACCCUACCUCACGGCAGUCUCCGCAGAUGAGCCUACUGCCUCACAACAGCCUCCACAGGCACAGCUCCGUCGUUACAAUGGCCUCUUUAGACCCAGCUCCUGCCUCCCAGCCUUCUCUCCAGGCCCUGAACUUUCUCAAGUCGACCUCACCAGGCCCAGCUCAUGCUUCUUUGCAGCCUCUCCAGGCCCAGCUCCUGCAUCUUGGUGACCCCUCCAGGCACAGCCUCUGCCUCCCGUCGGCCUCUACAGUCCCAACAUCUGCCUCACAGCAGAUUCUUCAGGCCCAGCAUCUGCCUCACUGUGGACCCCCCAAGCCAAGCUCCCAACCUUUCAGCAGCUUCUACACACCCAGCUCCUGCCACCCAGUGGCCUCUUUAGGCCAAGCUCAUGCUUCACAAGGGUCUUUCCAGGCCCAAUUUUUGUCUCAUGGCAACCUUCCCUGGCCAGAUUCCUGCCUGUCUCCCAGCAGCCUAGACAGGCCCAGGUCUUGCCUCACACUGGCCUCUCUACAUCCAGCUCAUGCCUCACGGUGGCCUCUCCAGGCUCAACUCCUGUCCCAGGACGUCAUCUCCGGGCCCAAAACUUAAAGUCAGACUCUCUAGUCCCAACUGCUGCCUCCUGGUGGAUUAUGAAGGCCCAAAAUCUCCUCAAGUUGACCUCUACAGGCCCAGCUCCUGCCUCCUGUCAGCGUCUACAGGCCCAACCUCUGCCUUAUGGGGGCUUCUCCAGGCCCACCUCUUCCUCUUGGCUGGGUCUACAGGCACAACUGCUGCCUCACAACAGCCUUUUUUGGCCCAGUUCCUGCCCAGCUCCCAGCGGCCCUGGUAGACCCACAACUUCCCGAAGCCAAGCUCCCCAGGCCCAGGUCAGGCCUCACGGUGGCCUCUCCAAGCUCAGCUCCUGCCCUCCAAUGGCAUCUGCAGGCCCCAAAUGGUCUCCAGUCGGUGGGCUCCUCCACGCCAAGCUUGGGCCUCUUGGCGACCUCUGCAGGCCCAAGUUGUCCUGAAGUCGGCCUCUCCCGGCCCUGCCUCCCAGCAAGUAAGCAAGCUCUUUUGGCUCAACUACUGCCGAGCUCCCAACCGCCUUUCUAGGCCCCGAACUUUCUCCAGCCAAGCUCUUCGGGCCUACUUCCUGCCUCCCGGUGGCCUGUACAGGCCCAGCACUGGUUGGAGAACAGCCUCUGCAGGCCCCACUCUUGCCUCCCAGGGGCCUCUCCAGGCCCAGCUCUUGCCCCCACGGCGGCCUCCCGGGGCCAAGUCCCUGCCUGCCUCCCAGCAGCCCGCAUGCGGCCCAGCUCCUUCUCACAGUGGCCUGUUGAUGCCCAACUCAUGCCUCUGGCACCCUGCCCAGAGACAUGAGCCCCUGCCUCUCACUGGCUCCUCCCACGCUGAGACAGGUCAGCGUGAGCCCUUGCCUCACACCGGCCCCUCCCACGCUGAGAGGUCAGCAUGAGCCCCUUGCCUCACACCGGCCCCUCCCACACUGAGAGAGGUCAGCGUGAGCCCUUGCCUCACACCGGCCCUCUCCCACGCUGAGAGAGGUCAGCGUGAGCCCUUGCCUCACACCGGCCCCUCCCACGCUGAGAGAGGUCAGCGUGAGCCCUUGCCUUACACCGGCCCCUCCCACGCUGACAGAGGUCAGCCUGAGCCCCUUGCCUCACACCGGCCCCUCCCACGCUGACAGAGGUCAGCCUGAGCCCCUUGCGUCACACCGGCCCCUCCCUCGCUGACAGAGGUCAGCGUGAGCCCCUAGCCUCACACCGGCCCCUCCCAGGCUGACAGAGGUCAGCGUGAGCCCCUUGCCUCACACCGGCCCCUCCCACGCUGACAGAAGUCAGCCUGAGCCCCUUGCCUCACACCGGCCCCUCCCUCGCUGACAGAAGUCAGCGUGAGCCCCUUGCCUCACACCGGCCCCUCCCACGCUGACAGAGGUCAGCGGGAGCCCCUUGCCUCACACCGGCCCCUCCCACGCUGACAGAGGUCAGCCUGAGCCCCUUGCCUCACACCGGCCCCUCCCACGCUGACAGAGGUCAGCCUGAGCCCCUUGCGUCACACCGGCCCCUCCCACGCUGACAGAGGUCAGCCUGAGCCCCUUGCCUCACACCGGCCCCUCCCACGCUGACAGAGGUCAGCAGGAGCCCCUAGCCUCACACCGGCCCCUCCCACGCUGACAGAGGUCAGCAGGAGCCCCUUGCCUCACACCGGCUCCUCCCACGCUGACAGAGGUCAGCCUGAGCCCCUUGCCUCACACCGGCCCCUCCCACGCUGACAGAGGUCAGCGGGAGCCCCUUGCCUCACACCGGCCCCUCCCAGGCUGACAGAGGUCCGCGGGAGCCCCUAGCCUCACACCGGCCCCUCCGACACUGACAGAGGUCCGCGGGAGCCCCUUGCCUCACACCGGCCCCUCCCAUGCUGACAGAGGUCAGCGUGAGCCCCUUGCCUCACACCGGCCCCUCCCACGCUGACAGAGGUCAGCCUGAGCCCCUUGCCUCACACCGGCCCCUCCCACGCUGACAGGUCAGCCUCAGCUCCUAGCCUCACACCGGCCCCUCCCAGGCUGACAGAGGUCCGCGGGAGCCCCUAGCCUCACACCGGCCCCUCCCACGCUGAGAGAGGUCAACGUGAGCCCCUUGCCUCACACCGGCCCCUCCCACGCUGACAGAGGUCAGCGGGAGCCCCUAGCCUCACGCCAGCCCCUCCCACGCUGACAGAGGUCAGCGGGAGCCCCUUGCCUCACACCGGCCCCUUCCACGCUGAGAGACGUCAGCGUGAGCCCUUGCCUCACAUCGGCCCCUUCCACGCUGAGAGAGGUCAGCGUGAGCCCCUGCCUCAACAGGCCACCGUGAGGGAGGAGCAGGCUUGCACGCGGGCUGCUGGGAGGCAGGCAGGGACUUGGGCCUGGGAGGUCACAGUGGGGCGAGAGCUGGGCCUGGAGACACCCCUGGGAGGCAACAGCGGGGCCUGCAGAUGCUCUUCUCCAGCCGGAGCUGGGACUGUUCAGGCUACUGGUGGCGGGAUGUGGGCCUGAGAGCUUGGUUGCAGAAACUUCGGGGUCUACAAAGGCCGGCGGGAGCUGAGCCAAAAGAGCUUGUUUGCUGGGAGGCAGGAGCUGGGCCGGGAGAUGCAGCCAGGAGGAACAGCUGGGCCUGAAGAGGCCCCCAUGUGGGAGGCAGAGGCCGGGCCUCCUCAAGUCGGCCUCUCCAGACCCACUUGCAGCCUCCCAGCGUCCUCUCCGGGCCCAGCUCUUCCUCCCGGCUGCGUCUCCAGGCCCGACUCUGGCCUCCCAACAACGUCUUUGGACUCAGCUCCUGCCCAGCUCCCAGCGGCCCUGGUAGACCCACAACUUCCUGAAGCCAAGCUCCCCAGGCCCAGCUCAGGCCUCACGGUGGCCUCUCCAGGCUCAGCUCCUGCCCUCCGAUGGCAUCUGCAGGCCCCAAAUGGCCUCCGGUCGGUGGGCUCCUCUAGGCCCAGCUUGGGCCUCCCGGCGGCCUCUGCAGGCCCAAAACGUCCCGAAGUUGGCCUCUCCAGGCCCAGCUCCGGCCUCCUGGCGGCCUUUGCAGGCCCAAGUCGUCCUCAAGUCGGCCUGGAAUUAGGCCUGGAAGAGCAGCAAGUCAGCCUCUCCGGGCCCAGCUCCAUCCUCUCGGCGGCCUCUCCAGGUGCAAAACUUCCUCGAGUCAGCCUCUCCAGGCCCAGCUCCUCCUGCCUCCCAGUGGCCUCUUUCAGCCCAGCCCAGCCCAGCUCAUGGCUCUCGGCAGCCUUCCCAGGCCCCGCUUUUGACUUUUGGCGGCCUCUUCAGGCCCAGAACUUGCCCUCCAGUGGACCUUUGCAGGCCCGGCCUCGGCCUCGGCCUCACAGCGGACUCUCCACGCCCAGCUAGCUCUCACCUCACUGCGGCCUCCCCAGUCCAAAGCUCCUGCCUUUCGGCCGCUUCGGCAGGUCCAGCUCCUGCCUGCCAGUGGCCUCUUUAGGCCCAGCUCAUUCCUCACAAUGGUCUUCCCAGGCCCCGUUUUUCCCUUCUGGCAGCCUCUUGGCCUCUAAUUUGUUUAUCUUUUGUGUAUAAAUCCCAAAAUAUGGAAUUUUGGAAUAUUUCCACCAUUAUAUGAAUAUUUUGGUAGGUAAUUUAUUUGGAGUUAGUUUCUGCACCAUGCCCGAAUUUUUUAUUUUAUUUUCCUUAUUAUUUGGUGUUAAACAGAUUUAAUGACGGUCAUGGCAACUUUUUGGCACAAUGAAAAAUAUCGCCCAUGA